rnacentral:rRNA from 1 species
GAUGAACGCUGGCGGCAUGCCUAACACAUGCAAGUCGAACGGGAAGUGGUGUUUCCCGUGGCGAACCGGUGAGUAACGCGUAAGAACCUGCCCUUGGGAUGGGAACAACAACUGGAAACGGUUGCUAAUACCCCGUAGGUAGCGGAGCAAAACGAGCAAUCCGCCCAAGGAGGGGCUCGCUCUUGGUUAGCUAGUUGGUGCGGUAAUAGCUUACCAAGGCGAUGAUCAGAAGCUGGUCCGAGAGGAUGAUCCGCCACACUGGGACUGGGACACGCCCCAGACUACUACGGGAGGCAGCAGUGGGGAAUUUUCCGCAAUGGGCGAAAGGCUGACGGAGCAAUGCCGCGGGGAGGUGGAAGGCCUACGGGUCGUCAACUUCUUUUCUCGGAGAAGAAACAAUGACGGUAUCUGAGGAAUAAGCAUCGGCUAACUCGGUG